rnacentral:rRNA from 1 species
AACGAACGCUGGCGGCAUGCCUAACACAUGCAAGUCGAACGAGACCUUCGGGUCUAGUGGCGCACGGGUGCGUAACGCGUGGGAACCUGCCCUUAGGUUCGGAAUAACUCCCCGAAAGGGGUGCUAAUACCGGAUAAUCUCUUCGUACCAAAGAUUUAUCGCCUUUGGAUGGGCCCGCGUUGGAUUAGCUAGUUGGUAGGGUAAAAGCCUACCAAGGCGACGAUCCAUAGCUGGUCUGAGAGGAUGAUCAGCCACACUGGGACUGAGACACGGCCCAGACUGCUACGGGAGGCAGCAGUGGGGAAUAUUAGACAAUGGGCGAAAGCCUAAUAAAGCAAUGCCGCGGGAGUGAUGAAGGCCUUAGGGUUGUAAAGCUCUUUUACCCGGGAUGAUAAUGACAGUACCGGGAGAAUAAGCUCCGGCUAACUCCGUG